AUGAAUGCUAAAUAUAAACUUGCUGGAGAUAAGGGUAGAAAACAUGUUGUGUUUGCACCUGGAGAUCUUGUUUGGUUACAUUUGCGUAAGGAUAGAUUUCCUGAUUUGCGCAAAUCAAAGUUAAUGCCACGUGCUGAUGGUCCCUUUAAGGUGUUAGAGAAAAUAAAUGAUAAUGCAUAUAAACUUGAGCUGCCUGCAGAUUUUGGGGUUAGUCCCACUUUUAACAUUGCAGAUUUGAAGCCUUAUUUGGGUGAGGAAGAUGAACUUCCGUCGAGGACGACUUCAUUUCAAGAAGGGGAGGAUGAUGAGGACAUCAAUACAAUUGUUACACCCACAACCCCUGCUGCUAUACAUACUGGACCAAUUACUAGAGCUCGUGCACGCCAACUAAAUUACCAGAUGAAGGGCCUAGCUUGGAGAAGGAUGAACAUUGGAGCAAGAACAAGCAUGGAGAUGAUGGCAUGCGCAAGGGAAACAAGAACGGAGUUACAAGUGAUGAUUUCAGGACUUUGA
rnacentral:rRNA from 1 species